rnacentral:hammerhead_ribozyme from 1 species
GCAUUGUUGAAGAGUCCCAUACUAGAACGAAACGGCCCGUCCAGUGC